rnacentral:rRNA from 1 species
UACGUAGGGUGCAAGCGUUGUCCGGAAUUAUUGGGCGUAAAGAGCUCGUAGGCGGUCUGUCGCGUCUGCUGUGAAAAUCCAGGGCUCAACCCUGGACCUGCAGUGGGUACGGGCAGACUAGAGUGCGGUAGGGGAGAUCGGAAUUCCUGGUGUAGCGGUGAAAUGCGCAGAUAUCGAGGAGGAACACCGGUGGCGAAGGCGGAUCUCUGGGCCGUAACUGACGCUGAGGAGCGAAAGCAUGGGGAGCGAACAGG